rnacentral:rRNA from 1 species
GACGUAGGAUGCAAGCGUUAUCCGGAAUUAUUGGGCGUAAAGCGUCCGCAGGUGGCACUUCAAGUCUGCUGUCAAAGACCGGGGCUUAACCCUGGAAAGGCAGUGGAAACUGAAGCGCUAGAGUGUGGCAGGGGUAGAGGGAAUUCCCGGUGUAGCGGUGAAAUGCGUAGAGAUCGGGAAGAACAUCGGUGGCGAAAGCGAGCUGCUGGACCUCUUCUGACGCUGAUGCGCGAAAGCUAGGGGAGCAAACGGG